CCUGAAUGCCAGGUCCUGUUCUCAGCCUUACACACACCGCUUCAUUUCAUCUUCGCAGUUACCCAGGGACGUAGAGAUGCGGCUCCCGGCCCGUCUGCAGAGGCCUGGAGAGGAGCUUGCUCGUCUGCAGCCGAAGGGGAGUGGGACUGAGGGACCCAGCGGCCAGACAGAGGCCCCCAAUUACCUCGGCUAUCGACGUUUCAGGCGGCGGAACGCAGCGGCCACCUAGAUAAUGAACUGCUCUUUCCACCCAGAGGAAAACCCCAAAGUGUACAGUUCCAUCCAGGAUUGGACACUUAAUUUGAUUGCUGCAUUCCUUUAGUGUCUGUUCCAGAAUGAAGAGUGCCCACUGUACCACCCACGGCACUUUUUUUUCUUUCAUGACAUUGACCUUUUUUAGAGACAGCUCAGUUGUCUUGUUGACUGUCUCUCCAUUUGGGCGGAUGUGAUUGUUUCCUCGUGGUUAGAUUUGGGUGGAACAUUCUGGGCAAUAACACUGCAGAGGUGAGGUCGCAUCCUCCCCAGUGCAUUAUGUAAGUAGGGCCCCGUGCCAGUUCGUCCCACCACCAGUGAUGCUAAAUGUGAUCAUUUGAUUAAAGUGGUUCUGACAGAUCUCUCAGUUGUAAAGCUAAUCCUUCUCUUUGUAAACAAUAAUUCAUCUGUGUAAUGAAUUAUGAUGUUUGAGACUGUGUGAAUAUCCUGUUC
rnacentral:lncRNA from 1 species